rnacentral:lncRNA from 1 species
CCUGCUACUGCAGGGCUCUGUUCUUGUAGCUUCACUGUUCCUCAGUGCCUACACUGUGAAUUCUGAUUUUCACCAGGUGGUUUAACCUGCUGCUGCCUGGGGAAAGGUUUGGGAACGGAGCAGAAGCUGGGGAGAUAAAAGUGCCAUGUGAUAUUUUAUCUUAGCACCCAACAGCCAGGCUAAACAUUUUGUUGUGCCCGAGCUGAUUAAAAAAGCCCAACACAAACCCUUUUUCCUGGCAUUCUGGUCAUGGACAGGGAUCAUGUUUUGCCAGGCAGGUGCAGAAAUGCAGAAGUGACAAUCUCACCUGUAGGAACCCAGAGGCACUGAGUGACUGUACCCAGGUCUGACACCAGCAGCUGCCUCAGUCCUGCAGGACAGUGUGUGCACGGGCAGGGGAGGUCACAGCACACAGGUGCCAGCAGUUUUCAAGGAAUCUAAAGAGAAAUUGUUGGUUUAACCUUGACCAAAGAAAUCAGGAACAAAAAGUUAUUGUCAACCAAAAAGACUAAAAACAUUGGACCACUUCUUUGUCAAGGCAAUGAAGGAGCAAUACACAGGAAAAAAAAAUUACAUAUGCAGAGUAACUCAAUAGAUGUAGACAAAACUGGUGCUUGGGUGAAAUAAGGAUGACAAGUGUGAAUUCUGACUUCUUUCCCCUUCAGGGAGAUUGCAGCACACUGCAGAAUCACAGAUUUAUCCCAGUUAUGAAAACAAGACCUGGGGACUGUGUCAGUUCAGCACUGAGGGAGAACAUACCAAGUUAUGUUACAGCAUAGUCAUAGCCGGGCACCAGUAAAAUGUUACCAGGUGGAUACACAAGAUUUUGAAGAUAUUUCCUGAUUUUAUGUAUAUUUAUGUGCGUGCACAUACCUCUAAGUAUGUGCAUGUACUAGAGUUUCAGAUAACACUGAACUCCUUUGGAAAGAAGACCCGAGACGCUGAAUAUACCUCUUAGAAACACCAGGAAAAACAGUUAAGUGUUCACGUCAUUUCCCAUUCCUGACUCCUAACACAAACAAACAGUCAUUUCCUUGCAAUGGGCAAGUGUUUUCAGCAGACAGUUGGGAGGGCUUUGAGAUCAUCCAGCAGGAACAAUCCUGGUGUUUACCCACACUUGCCAGGGCACAGAACCUCGGAGGAGCCGUGCUGGCAGAGGGAAGUGGGAACUUUGGGGAGCGUCACUCCCAGAGGCUUGGUACAUGAUCUUCUCCAGGUGUCUGCACUUGUCUGGAUCAGAAAAUCCUGAGGUGAUCGUGUUUCUCUGGAGGAGUGAAUCACAGAGUGUUUGAAACUUCAGUAGACCCGGUGCACUGUUGCAGAGCUCCAGGGACAGGAGGGGCUGCCAGGGAAUCAGGUAAUUGCAGCAGCUGAUAAUGGAGCCCCAGGGAGCAGGGCCAUCACCUGCAAACAAACCAGCCCCUGCAAAGGGAAAAGAUGAGCUGCUGCUGCUGCUGACGUCUCAAGACAUGCCCCAGGAAGACAAUGGGAUGUUGCUGUCAGAUGGGAACAGUCGCUGCUCCUCUUGGAAUAGCUCCACAGGGAUGUUUGCAGCAGCUCCAAGCAGAGCCCGUGCACAGAACUGUGCCUUCCACAAAAAAAAAAACAAACCAGAGAAAUCCUGCAAUCAGCUGAUUAAGAGAUGUCAAAGCCAAUCAUAUGUUAUUUCAUCUUAUGCUAAUAUGUACAAGUAUCUGAUGACCAAUAAGCCUAAACUGGAAGGAGGCUGCCAAAUAGGUUUGGCAAUAAAUCAUUGUAUUUUAGUCCUUAUUUGUCAAUGUACACUUAAGAUACCUGGCUUUCCUCAUAAAUGCCAAGUUCCAUUGCCCCUUUCCUUUGUCAGGAGUGUGAAUCUCACACUUCAAACUUACACUCGGGGCAACAUCAAAUUUAAGGAUCACGUGUUAAAAAAGCUCUUGUACAGGAGGCCUUAAAAACCCCCCAAACCUUGAAUCAUCUCUGGUGGGUGGGUUUUGAGUUGCUGGGCUGGAGCAGCUCAGGUGCUUUGCCCUCUGGCCUUGCAUGAGCCCCCCUGGGCAGAGAAAAGGGAACACACUGGCCUACAAAGCAUGCAGGGCUGAGCAGUGCUGCUGCUGACCCUCCUGCAGCUGUGUGCCAAUAGAGGGGCCAAGUGGCCGUGGAAAUCGGGUUCCCUCCUGUGUCCCUGGGACAUGGGGCACUCACCUGCCUGCUGCAGUGUAGGGAAGGCACCAUGUGUCACCAGAGCUGGAGGAGAAACAGCCAAAGUUAACAGUGCUGAGUCUCCUUCCUGCAGGCAUAAAGCGCUGCCUGAGGAAAUUAAAUUAAGACUGAAACCACUGAAGGAAAGUGAAGUUCACUGCUGCCAGCAGCCCAUCACUCACUCGUUACUGCCCCACAGGAGCUGGUGAGGAUCGGGAAACCAUCGCCACGCGGUCAGCAGGAGCCAUUUCCAGAUAGCGACCUCAGUGAAAGGAGCCUGGAGAACAAGUGCAUCCUCCCACAAGGAGAGCAGGAGGAGGGAACACAGGCAGGCGACACUCGCAGCAUCUCAGUAAAGCAGAGUAAGGGGUUUACUCACUCCAUUUUGGGUGGAUCUUUGUCUUCUUUAGAAGCUCUCCACUGAACGCUAACGAGCUGUUUACUUUGGAUAAUGAACUGUAGCUAAUGCACAUCAGCUCUAGGAAAUCUGCAAAACUGUAUGACUACGCUGACGCUGACGAUACAUUGUGGAAUUACAUGCAGGCAAAGCGACCACACUGGUCUUCAAAACAGCAGAGACUGCAAAGAAAUAAUUUAAGCAAGAGCACAACCACGAUUACAGCUGUGGGUGUCUCCUCAGUGUGAGGAAAAAGGCUGGCAAGGUAUAGCUGAGUAACAGGCACCCUGUAAUGGAACUGAAAUCCAUGUUUCCAGUUUAAAAAAAGAAAAAAAA